CGCGGGGUGGAGCAGUCUGGUAGCUCGUCGGGCUCAUAACCCGAAGGUCGUUGGUUCAAAUCCAGCCCCCGCUA
rnacentral:tRNA from 1 species